UACGGAGGGUGCAAGCGUUAUCCGGAAUGAUUGGGCGUAAAGCGUCCGCAGGUGGCUAUGUAAGUCUGCUGUUAAAGAGUGAGGCUCAACCUCAUAAGAGCAGUGGAAACUACAUAGCUAGAGUGCGUUCGGGGCAGAGGGAAUUCCUGGUGUAGCGGUGAAAUGCGUAGAUAUCAGGAAGAACACCGGUGGCGAAAGCGCUCUGCUAGGCCGCAACUGACACUGAGGGACGAAAGCUAGGGGAGCGAAUGGG
rnacentral:rRNA from 1 species